rnacentral:rRNA from 1 species
UACGUAGGGUGCAAGCGUUAAUCGGAAUUACUGGGCGUAAAGCGUGCGCAGGCGGUUAUGUAAGACAGAUGUGAAAUGCCCGGGCUUAACCUGGGAACUGCAUUUGUGACUGCAUGGCUAGAGUGUGUCAGAGGGGGGUAGAAUUCCACGUGUAGCAGUGAAAUGCGUAGAUAUGUGGAGGAAUACCGAUGGCGAAGGCAGCCCCCUGGGAUAACACUGACGCUCAUGCAACGAAAGCGUGGGGAGCAAACAGG